rfam:Flavobacterium sp. ov086 genome assembly, contig: Ga0070134_103
UUCUAGCCCCGAUGGAGCCGGUAUCCUUUUUAUGUCUGCCGCGGCGGACAUAAAAAGAUAAAGGCGAGAGCGGGAAAUAGC